rnacentral:rRNA from 1 species
UACGGAGGGGGGCUAGCGUUGUUCGGAUUUACUGGGCGUAAAGCGCACGUAGGCGGAUUGUUAAGUCAGGGGUGAAAUCCCGGAGCUCAACUCCCGGAACUGCCUUUGAUACUGGCAAUCUUGAGGCUGGAAGAGGUUAGUGGAAUUCCCAGUGUAGAGGUGAAAUUCGUAGAUAUUGGGAAGAACACCAGUGGCGAAGGCGGCUAACUGGUCCAGAUCUGACGCUGAGGUGCGGAAAGCGUGGGGAGCAAACAGGG